CCUACGGGUGGCAGCAGUAGGGAAUCUUCCACAAUGGGCGAAAGCCUGAUGGAGCAACGCCGCGUGGGUGAAGAAGGUCUUCGGAUCGUAAAACCCUGUUGUUAGAGAAGAAAGUGCGUGAGAGUAACUGUUCACGUCUCGACGGUAUCUAACCAGAACGCCACGGCUAACUGCGUGCCAGCAGCCGCGGCAAUACGGAGGUGGCAAGCGUUCUGCGGCUUUAUUGGGCGUAAAGGGAACGCAGGCGGCCUGUUAAGUCCGAUGUGCAAGCCGUCGGCUUAACCGGAGUAGUGCAUUGGAAACUGGGGGACUUGAGUGCGGAAGAGGAGAGUGGAACGCCAUGUGUAGAGGUGAAAUGCGUAGAUAGAUGGAAGAACACCAGGGGCGAAGGCGGCUCUCGGGUCUGUAACUGACGCUGAGGUGCGAAAGCGUGGGUAGCAAACAGGAUUAGAUACCCUGGUAGUG
rnacentral:rRNA from 1 species